UACGGCGGGUGCAAGCGUUAUCCGGAUUCACUGGGUUUAAAGGGUGCGUAGGUGGGCAAGUAAGUCAGUGGUGAAAUCUCCGGGCUUAACCCGGAAACUGCCAUUGAUACUAUUUGUCUUGAAUACUGUGGAGGUCAGCGGAAUAUGUCAUGUAGCGGUGAAAUGCUUAGAUAUGACAUAGAACACCAAUUGCGAAGGCAGCUGGCUACACAAAUAUUGACACUGAGGCACGAAAGCGUGGGGAUCAAACAGG
rnacentral:rRNA from 1 species